rnacentral:rRNA from 1 species
GGUUCUGCCCGUACCGCAAACCGACACUGGUAGGCGAGGAGAGUAUCCUCAGGCGAACGAGAGAACCUUCGUUAAGGAAUUAGGCAACAUGUACCCGUAACUUAGGGAGAAGGGUAGCCCGCGGUGAUGUUGUCAUACGAUGAUGUCAUUGUGGGUCGCAGAUGAGAGGCUCUAGCGACUGGUUAACUAAACCACAGGUCUCUGCGAAGCCGUAAGGCGACGUAUAGGGGCUGACACUUGCCCAGUGCUGGAAGGUUAAAGGGAGAGGUUAGCGCAAGCGAAGCUUUGAACUGAAGCCCCAGUGAACGGCGGCGGUAACUAUAACCGUCCUAAGGUAGCGAAAUUCCUUGUCAGGUAAGUUCUGACCCGCACGAAUAGUGUAACGACUGGAGCACUGUCUCAACGAGGGACUCGGCGAAACUGAAUUAAUGGUGAAGAUGCCAUUUACCCGCGCCCGGACAAAAAGACCCCGUGGAGCUUUACUGUACCUUGGCAUUGCGCUAGGGCUUUGACUGUGUAGCAUAGGUGGGAGGCUUUGAAGCUGGUGCGCUAGCAUCGGUGGAGCCGUCAGUGAAAUACCACCCUGUUGGAGUUUUGGCCCUAACCGUACUCCGUAAUCCGGAGACGAGACAGUGCCAGGCGGGCAGUUUGACUGGGGCGGUCGCCUCCUAAAAUGUAACGGAGGCGCCCAAAGUUUCCCUCAGGCUGAAUGGAAACCAGCCGUUGAGUGUAAGGCACAAGGGAGAUUGACUGCAAGACCUACAAGUCGAGCAGAGACGAAAGUCGGGCUUAGUGAUCCUACUGAUCUUGGUGGAAAGGCAGUACCUUAACGGAUAAAAGCUACCCCGGGGAUAACAGGCUAGUGAGGCCCAAGCGUCCAUAGCGACGGCCUCGCUCGGCACCUCGAUGUCGGCUCGGCGCAUCCUGGGGCUGGAUAAGGUCCCAAGGGUUGGCCUGUUCGGCCAUUAAAGCGUUACGUGAGCUGGGUUCAAACCGUCGUGAGACAGGUUGGUCUCUAUCCGGCGUGGGCGCAGGGGAUUUGAGAGGAGCUGUUCUUAGUACGAAGGACCGGAAUGGACGUACCUCUGGUGUGCCAGUUGUUCCGCCAGGAGCAUCACUGGGUAGCCACGUACGGCAAAGAUAACCGCUGAAAGCAUCUAAGUGGGAAACUUGCCUCAAGAUGAGAUCCCCCCGAAGACCGCCAGUAGACUACUGGUUUGAUAGGCGACAGGUGUAAGGCCGGCAACGGUUUUAGCUAAGUCGUACUAACGGUCGUUUGGCUUAAACAG